AUUGAACGCUGGCGGCAGGCCUAACACAUGCAAGUCGAGCGAGCGGCGGACGGGUGAGUAAUGUAUGGGGACUGCCCGAUAGAGGGGGAUAACUACUGGAAACGGAAGCUAAUACCGCAUACUAUCGGAUAACCCAUAUGGGAUGAGCUAGUAGGUGUGGUAAUGGCUCACCAAGGAGACGAUCCCUAGCUGGUCUGAGAGGAUGAUCAGCCAGACGGGGACUGAGACACGGCCCAGAAUCCUACGGAGGCAGCAGUGGGGAAGAUUGCACAAUGGGCGAAAGCCUGAUGCAGCCAUGCCGCGUGUAUGAAGAAGGCCCUAGGGUUGUAAAGUACUUUCAGUAGGGAGGCGUUACCGACAGAAGAAGCAACGGCUAACUCCGUGCCAGCAGCCGCGGUAAUAC
rnacentral:rRNA from 1 species